GUUUUCAUGGCGGUAAUCCGUGCAAUCUGGAACGUGCAGAACUGUGGCCAUAUUCUGUGCUCCAUACAGAAAAGUGUAUGCAAUGCACCUGGCCAUCUUGAGCAACUGACUGCACUGGGUCAAGAAUGCUGAGCCAAGUAAUCUGUUUGUAGCAAAGGCAAAGGAAAUGCCAUUAGCCAGAGAGGCUCGGGCCUUCCCUCCAUUGACCCGAGCCAACCGUGGGUGGGACUCGACGUUAACCAGUCAGCCUGAACAACAUAGGAUUUGGUCUCGCAGCUCUGACUGUGACAGGCGCUGCAAAUGCACUAUUGAUGCAGUGGACAAGUGUUUCCUCAUUUUCAUAAGCUCUUGUAUUGGUGACAUCUGUUCUUGUAUGCAUUGUGAUCCUCAAGUAAGUGUCAAUUUUAUUUUUCGGUAACUUUCAUGUGUUUAUCGAGACUGAAAACUGAGAGUCAAUGUGCAGUAAUGAUUAAACUAUAGCACAAUAAUUCAAACACAGAAGCGAGAAGGACCUGAACAACACAAGCAUGUUUUACUGAUUCUUGUUUUUGUUCACUAUGCCUAAAGAUUUCGUUGAGUGUUAUUUGAUUGUGAGCAUUUUUCUAAGACAAGUUAUUUAUUAUUAUCUUUUAAAUGUCUUUAUUUCUGCAUUUAAUAGGCGAAGCCUUGCUGCAGAAAAGGGGUGCUCUAUGGGGGAGGGUAAAGCCGCUCCAUACACGUUUCCGCCAACCAGGUUAAGUUCCGCCGACCUGCGCUCCUCUCCCACUCACCCCAUUAGCUUCCGGCGUCAAGCGGAACUUACGUAGCUGCAGCUUCCUGUUCCGAGUGGAAGUGACACUUUGUUUUUUUAGCAUUGUUUACUUUCGCGCCGCUGGAGAGGCUUUAAUUGCACGAGCUGCGGUUGAAACUGUGAAUGCGAUUCCAUCCAAGAACCACCGCCUACUGUAACCAGCGAUCUGCUCGUGUUCGCUGCUUCGCGUCAACCUGUGACGGGUUGUGGCACGAGCGACAACGUACAGUGGAAUGUAGUGCCUGGGCGCUUGGAGACCACUGCCGUUUUUCGUGCAUUUGGACAACAGCUACCGCAAACUACUACUUCAGCGGAAUACAACAGCUUGUACACUUUGCAUUCUUCUUAUUGUGACUGCCACAGCUCUGCUAAGCACGCGCGGGCGUCUCACCAUCGUCUAACAGCAGUCAAAGCGGAAAUUCCCGCAGCGCAACUCCAGAAAGCGGAAACGCUGGAACCGGAAAUUUUUAAACCGGAAAUGCGGGAACCGGAAAUACCGGAACCGGAUUUGGUGUGAGGGGAAAAGGCGGCGCACAACAAAGGUUGUUGCUACUUAAGAAAGCGGCGGUGGCGCGUAGAUGCAGGGGCUUUAGGGGAGGGGGACCGGUGCUCUCUUCUUCCUCAAGGUGGAGUGCUUCAGAGCUAUACACUCAAACCUCAAUAUAAUGAACACAGAACAACUCAACAGUUAUAGUGAAGCAUAUCUAAAAUGCUUAUUGCCUAUAUCCAGUAUGUAAUAAGUGUAAGUUUAUAACGAAUAUAGGAUAUUAUGAAGAUGUUCUUGUGUUGGAUGCCACUUCAUUACAGCAAGGUUUGACUGUGUUUAGAAACAUCUUUGCAUUUAUCACACCCGUUUAGAUAGCAUCAAUAAUGCAGAAAUGUUCUAUAAGUUGACUUGUGAAUCUGCGUGGCUUGACAUCACUUAUUUUUCUUUUUCAGAUGCCCAUCCUGGUAAACAUAGAUGUACUGCAGGAAGUUCAUUUUGAAAGUACUUGGAAAGGGCGUUAAACCUUCACCAUGUGGGCCUUGCUGAAUAUCUUGAUCUUUCACAUGUGGAAUAGUUAAAUUGAGAUAUCUUGGUUCCUCCAUCACCUUUACAAGCUCUGUUUAACUAAGCAGAAUCAGGCUGUUGUUCCGAUCAUUUAGUUGUGAUGAACUCAAUUUCAAGCUGUAAUUGCCAUGCACAUUUUAGACAAGCUGUAGAAUUGCCACAAACAUUUUGUGAGAUUAAACCUGAUAUUACUUCUCACCACUCUUAUGUCGUCACACGUGACCCUGUAUCUCCACCAGAUGUCAUGUGGUAGUAAUAAGUGGAUGCCAGCAGGCUUGCAGGCAAGCAACCCACUUCAAGAAGAACUACUGGGUGGACUUGGGCUAUUUAAGUCAAACUACAACUCGGGGCGAUGAUAUCUAGAGGUGUGGUCAGCAGAUGUCAAGUCGAAUGGCAUGGCCAUCAUGCUGUUUCUUGUUAAUAGGGGGUGAUCGUGCAUUCUAGAUUUCACUGGGGUAACCACACAGGUUCAAGAACAGGCUGCAGUAAUCUACACAGGCUGGUAGGAUGGACCUGUCUUUCUAAUGUAACCACAACGUCCAAGAGGCACGUGUACAUUGAUAUUGCGAGUACGUCUAGCACAGUUACCCAAGUGUAAUAGUGCAUAUUGUGUCUUUAGGACAAGGUGUAUGCGGCAAUACAUUGCUUUUGCUGUUUCUGUCAACUCAUUUGCUCAGUUUGGAAAGCAGAAUUGUAUCAGAGUUUGUUUAAUUACUUUUACAUAUUGGAAGUAAAAGCGUGAGUAGUCUGCAGUGCUCACAGUGCUCACUAGGCUUGCAGCGCAGUGGCUUAGCGCAGUUUCUCAUCUGAACAUCUCAUUUUACAACAAAAGGCUGUAAAUGCUGCAUUUAUACCACUUUUCUGCAACACCGACUGCCCACCAUGUGAAACCCUCUUUGCCGGCUGCCCUCUCCACAUCCCGCAGAACAUCGUGUUGUGAAGAAGAUAGCAGUGCCACGACGCCAGCUCUUCCCACUGCCGCAAUCUCUCGUCACGCCACCCACUGUUUGCACUGCCAUUAUAUUUGUGACCUGCCACCAGAUGGCAUGUCGUCUUGCUCAUAGCAGUGGCAGAAAAGCUGAGUGGUCAGUUGUGGUCAUGCGCUGAAUAUUAUCACAGUUUUGUUUAACUUUUGCGGCUUGUUCUGUGUAGUGUUUAGCUGCUCAAAGUCGUGCAGACAUCCUUCAGUUUUGCUGUAUUGUAACCCCACCUAUAUUCAGUGUUUUAUAUAUAUAUUUCUUUCUUUUCACAAGUUCUCUUGUGCAGAUUUUGCAGGUGUGCAUUGUUUUGGUGAAUGUUUAGUGCUUUGUUUUGUAACUUGUUGACUGCUUUUAGAGUUGUUUAAUUAUGCCUUACCUGCUUUCUCUUUUUAUGUCUUUGCACACAUACCGAAUGCGUCUGUUAAUUUGACUCUGGUUAUCUAGAUUUUUCGGUCAGUUCGAUCCCGGCUGCAUGUCCUGGCUGGUGCCUGUGCAUUUAUAUGGGCCCAAACAUUCAUUAUUUCGAUGCUAAACUUGCCCUUCGCUGGAUAUUUCAAACUUGAUCAAUCAGCAUGCACGCACUUGACCUCUGUGGUGACCCCAUAGUGAUAACUUUACUGGCAGCGUCCUCCUCGGCAGAGCAUAGGGGACAUUGAAUGCGUAGAAUGCCUUUAUUUGGCCUGCCCUAGGAAGAUUUCCAAGCAAUGAAGAUAUCUCACAAUUCAGAUUACUGUUUUUACCAAAUUCUAAAGUGUGCAUUCCUUCCUCCCCCCCUAAAAAAUUGGGCCUUAAAUUGCGUUUGCAUGAUUUUCUGUGAACAGGACUGUAUUGUGGCAAAACUGACUAAAAACUGUGCGGUGACACUGACUUUAGGAAACUGUGCAACCUUAGGCCACUGUGCGACACAUAUUAAAGGGCCCCUCACCAGGUCACAUAGCAAAUUUUGGUUAUAUGCUGGAAGUUGUUACGUGUCCUCUAGGAAGCGUUCUAUCGCAAUAAAUUUUCGAAUUGGGUCAUUAAUAACCGAGAUAUAAAUAUUUCAGUGCCGCGAACCGAUGAUUUCAGGAGGUGAGCGUCACCGCCAAGAUAAUGCUCUCUCCACUUGCCCCUGUCUAGCCUCAGCAAGUGAAAUUCCGUCCCUGUGUUCUCCCAUAUGGGAGCUAAGGGCGUAUCGUUUCACGCAUACGUCACGGGCUCUGCCUUCCUUUUUUUUCUCUUUCACUUUCUUGCUGUGCGGCACACUUCAGCUGAUGGUCUCUCGCGCGAGCUGGUGUGUUUGUCUCGUUUCUGCAUGAUUUUGUGCACUGUGCAUGAGAACACCUAACUAGCCGUAUGAGUCAGCGCUGCAUUAAUACUGAGGCAGACGCAAUCGGAUCACAGAGCAUAAUCGCAUGCUGGAAUACGGUAGAAAAUUACAUAAAUUUGCUCCCUGUGUGAACACGACUGCACGACAUGGGAACAAGCAGACAAAGUCGAACUACAUCUGUCUUGCUACGGUAUGAAGUAAAACAAAGACAAGCAGACAUUUGGUUUGUAGGUUUUACUGUGGGUCAGUCGCAUCGCACAUAUUAAUUGAAUUACCCACUUGAAGCAAACACACCAGUUAAUUAUUGGCUGCAAAUGUUAAAAGAAAAAAAAUGAAUUUUUUUUGGCCUUGCUAACUGAACGUGACACAUCAAACAUCCAAUCACACAUGGCGCAUCAAAGUGAAAUGGAGGAACACUGGGAAUGCAAGGAGUUUAAUUCAGCUGAAGCCGACUCUGUGUUCCUUACAGUGAAGCUGGCAAGGGGAGUUCCACAACGGUUUUCAUGCAGCAAAGGCCGGUGUGCAACAGCAUGGUUGAUAUUAGAUAUAAGUUUAAUGAAACGUGUGUCACAACCCUGAAUCUGCUUUCAUAAAUAUAAUGAUCACUGAUUAUAGAAUAAAAGUUACCUUGUGUAUAUCUCAUUCAUAUAAACAACCUAUGCGUGCUGUCUUUUUAACCAGUAAUCCGCAAUUUUUUUUUUAUCUUGUUGUAUUAUACUGGCUCCAUGUUGGGGAUCAGCUAGGAUUUUGUGUGGCUGCGCUGGUGAAACCUGGUGCUGCAGUACUGCAAUACAGCAACGACCGUGCUUGAAUACAGCAGCAACUGUUCCUUGAGCCAGCAAGUGUAGUACUUCUGAAGGGUGUGAGAACUUGCUUAUACAGCUUCGCUGUCUUUGAUGUAACAGUUGUCAGGUUGGCCUGCAUCUGUGAAGGAUAUUUUUUUUUUCUUUUACCAUCACUGAAUGAAACUGGCAAAAAGAAAUUUGUGCACUUUGACUGAAGAGUACGUACUACUGGCAGAGCUGCGAUUCUUUCUUUGCCGUCUUCCUAAGCAUCUGCACACCCCCAAAAAAUGUAUGUUUGGGAAAGUGACGGGGCAUGUUUAACUUACUGCAGCAGUAGUCCUGGAAGAAUGGAGCCCCGUGGGCAGCAAAGCGGCUUCCUCCCAGUCCUCAAGCAAUGACAGCGGUGACGAGGGAACAGAAGCAAGUGAAGUCGGACAGUCAGAGCUCCUCACUUUCGCGAGUGUCUCGACAUCCAAAGCCAUCGAGGAGACGUCUCAAGCCAGGCAUGGGCGACUCUGUUGCUGGCUGUGUCCGUACAAUGCGGCUUACACAUCGCAGUUGGCCGAGCACAUGCGAACGCACACGGCUAUUGUGUCAAGGAGUCAUCACGGCUCUGGAAUUCCAUCUCAUUCAAGCUCUGGUGCCACCAGUGGAGCGGAAAGGAGUAAAGUCGGACAACCUGACCUUCUCACUUCUACGAGCCCAUUAGCAUCUCCAUCAGUGCAGGAGACACCUUCGCGUACACAUAAGCAACAUCAUUGUGCUUUGUGUUCAUACAAAGCAAUUUCCAAUUCCAAAUUAACAGCACAUAUGCGAAGCCACACGGGUGAGAAGCCGUUUAAGUGUCAUUUGUGCCCAUCGGCAUUUGCGCAGGGUAGUGACUGCAGGCGUCACAUGUCGGUGCACACUGGUGUGAAACACUUCAAGUGUCACCUCUGCCCUUAUUCCGCGGUACAGAAGUCUGACCUGAAAAUUCACAACAUAACCCACACAGGUAAAAAGCCAUACCAGUGCAAUCAAUGCAGCUAUGCUUCCGUACGCAGUGCUCGCAUGAAGCGUCAUAUGCUUCAGCAGCACAAAUGAAACCAUUUUUUAGGAGAAGGCAUGUUUCCUCUAUUGUAAGAAGGCUACAGCGCAAAACAGACAGUCUGAUGUGCCAUAUUUAGCUCAAAGUCAUGUGCUGAUGUUGCUGCGAGCAUUUUACUUGGUACAAAUGGUAUGAAGUCUAUGCUAAUUAUUCAGAAUUAUCUUGAAUGACAGCAAUGCAUGCAGAGUGCAGUAAACAAUGUAAAAAACACCACAAGUGAUAAAAUUGCAAAAAGCAGUCGCACUUCACGGCUAGUGAUAGAUGGCAUCUCUACAGUCCUGAAGUUGAUUGUAUGGUGAAUUGUGAGGUGUGGAGUGAAAGAAGGAAUAUUGGCUCAAGAAAAGAUUGGCUCUAGUAUGAAAUUGUUAUACAGUCAUGAAAAUGUACAAUAACAUGGUUCGGUAUAGAGUUCGUAAACUUCUGUGAUAAAAACUGAUAAAGCAACUGGAAUACCAGUACUCCGCUCUCAUGAAGAGAAACUGACUGUGUGUUCUUUUUUUUAGUUACACUAUUGUACCGUUCACAAACUUUUGUUACAAAAACUGUGGUAAACAACUAGAGUGACGGCAUUCUUCUCAUGAAUGGAAGCCGAAUGAGAGAUGCUUUCUUUUUUUCAUUUACACUAUGAAUAAUAAUUCGUGAUGAAGGGGGCUGCGUUUUUCUGCAGCGUUUCAAACUUGCUAUUUAUCUCGGAUGUUCGUGGCAGAUUUGUGAGAAUAUAGCCACUCCAAAAAAUGGGUGGUGGCAAGUGGCAUCUAAUAAAUCCAAGUUCUUGAAUUUCA